rnacentral:rRNA from 1 species
UACGGAGGGGGCAAGCGUUAUCCGGAAUUAUUGGGCGUAAAGCGUCCGCAGGUGGCACUUCAAGUCUGUCGUCAAAGACUGGGGCUUAACCCUGGAAAGGCGGUGGAAACUGAAACGCUAGAGUGUGGUAGGGGUAGAGGGAAUUCCCGGUGUAGCGGUGAAAUGCGUAGAGAUCGGGAAGAACAUCGGUGGCGAAGGCGCUCUACUGGACCACAACUGACACUCAGGGACGAAAGCUAGGGGAGCGAAUGGG